UUUUUCCUCAUUAACAUCCCUGCCAAUGUUAUUUCUGAAAGAAUGUGAUGUAGGCUGUAACCUUAUUGGUGUCAUCCCUGUCUCACGGAAUCAUUUUUUCAGAUGCCCAAAGUCAUCGACCUCAGUCCCGUCUCAGGCUAGCAUCCAAAUACAUUUAUCUCAGACCAAAUGUUGCAACCUUGAAAACCUAACCUAUUAAAUGACACUCUCCAAUGUAUAUCAUGCACAAUAUGUGCCUUUUUCACUUUUCACAAACAACAUUUGAUUAGAUUACACGUUCUCCACAUUCAAGCGCUGAACCUCACUCUUGGUUCCAAAAACAGGUUCCAACUCAGAACCAACUUUAUGCUCCAGAAACAAGAACCGGUGACGUCUGGUGCCAAAACAAAAACACAUUACACCGCCACUUUUAAAAAGACCAGAGACAACAGCCAACAAUAUGGAAGGGAAGCAAGAACAACAAUGGUCUGUGGAGGAAACGACUUGUUUACUUGCUCUGUAGUCCUCCACCGAAAUACAAAAUAAAUUGGAAGGUGCCCUAUCUUUGAAAAGAUACAGCAGGAGAUGGCAACGGCUGGUUACGAUAGCGGUGUCGACCAAUUGAAACAACAUUUUGAAAUUAAAAAAGGAAUAUAGGGACCAGAAAAAGAACCUUGGGCGAAGUGGCAGUGGUCGUCCAAAAAUAAAUCCCUUUUUUGACAUUUAGGAGACAGACCAGCUUGUCAAGUGAGGGGGCGCUGAAUUCAGCCACAGCAAUGAUGGAUGGCAAUGGUUGAUGGCAGCGUACACAGUUUCGCUGCUUCAGAGUUGUGUGUCACCGGUGUGGAGGUGGAGGAGGGUGAUGAGGAACUAACGUUGCCGCCGCCACGGGACAGCAGCUCACCGGCGCCAUCUAGUGGAUUGGCCUCUGUACAGCAAGCCAAAGGAGGAAAAAGAAAACGUGACAAUGAUGACCUACUUGGAUAGUCACAAGUCACACGUCUUUUAUUGACAGAUGCACAGAAUGGCACAGGGUCAGACUGGGCACUGAAAUUCUUAGGACAAGGCACCACACAACAACCUACCAUAACAUAACAUAACAUAACAUACACUCUGUACAAGUACUCUGAACAUAAUUUACACGUAAUAAACAUAUAAUAACCUAAAUAACCUUACUAAAU
rnacentral:lncRNA from 1 species